ACGAACGCUGGCGGCGUGCUUAACACCUGCAAGUCGAACGGAAAGGCCCUGCUUUUGUGGGGUGCUCGGGUGGCGAACGGGUGAGUAACACGUGAGUAACCUGCCCUUGACUUUGGGAUAACUUCAGGAAACUGGGGCUAAUACCGGAUAGGAGCUCCUGCUGCAUGGUGGGGGUUGGAAAGUUUCGGCGGUUGGGGAUGGACUCGCGGCUUAUCAGCUUGUUGGUGGGGGAGUGGUUUACCAAGGCUUUGACGGGUAGCCGGCCUGAGAGGGUGACCGGCCACAUUGGGACUGAGAUACGGCCCAGACUCCUACGGGAGGCAGCAGUGGGGAAUAUUGCACAAUGGGCGGAAGCCUGAUGCAGCAACGCCGCGUGCGGGAUGACGGCCUUCGGGUUGUAAACCGCUUUCGCCUGUGACGAAGCGUGAGUGACGGUAAUGGGUAAAGAAGCACCGGCUAACUACGUG
rnacentral:rRNA from 1 species